rnacentral:rRNA from 1 species
UACGUAGGGGUCGAGCGUUGUCCGGAGUUACUGGGCGUAAAGCGCAUGCAGGCGGCUCAUUACGCAUGGCGUGAAAGCCCCCGGCUUAACCGGGGAGGGUCGUCGUGAACGGGUGAGCUUGAGGGUAUCAGGGGCUGGUGGAAUUCCCGGUGUAGUGGUGAAAUGCGUAGAGAUCGGGAGGAACACCUGUGGCGAAGGCGGCCAGCUGGGAUACACCUGACGCUGAGAUGCGAAGGCGUGGGGAGCGAACGGG